rnacentral:rRNA from 1 species
GGAGGUAGUGACAAUAAAUCUCAAUACGAAGCCUUUGGUUUUGUAAUUGAAUUGAGAACAAUGUACAAUCGUUAUCGAUAAACAAUUGGAGGGCAAGUCUGGUGCCAGCAGCCGCGGUAAUUCCAGCUCCAAUAGCGUAUAUUAACGUUGUUGCAGUUAAAAAGCUCGUAGUUGAAGUUUAGAUGGUUUGAAGGGGGUGGAAAUAUUUGUAUUUCCUGCUCUCUUUAGAUUAUCGACUUCCAGGUAAGUAUAAUGUACCUUUCGGGGUUCGUUAUACGAGACUGGUCUUUUACUGUGAGAAAAUUAGAGUGUUUAAAGCAGACUUUUUUGAGUUUGAAUAGAUUAGCAUGGAAUAAUAAGAUUGGCUUUCAUAGUCGAUUUUUUGGUUUGUUUAUGAAAGCAAGAUUAAUAGGGACAGUUGGGGGUAUUCAUAUUCAAUAGCUAGAGGUGAAAUUCUAUGAUUUAUGGAAGAUGAACAAGUGCGAAAGCA